CCUACGGGUGGCAGCAGUGAGGAAUAUUGGUCAAUGGACGAGAGUCUGAACCAGCCAAGUAGCGUGAAGGAUGACUGCCCUAUGGGUUGUAAACUUCUUUUAUAUGGGAAUAAAAUGUUCCACGUGUGGGAUUUUGUAUGUACCUUAUGAAUAAGGAUCGGCUAACUCCGUGCCAGCAGCCGCGGUAAUACGGAGGAUCCGAGCGUUAUCCGGAUUUAUUGGGUUGAGAGGGAGCGUAGGUGGAUUGUUAAGUCAGUUGUGAAAGUUUGCGGCUCAACCGUAAAAUUGCAGUUGACACUGGCAGUCUUGAGUACAGUAGAGGUGGGCGGAAUUCGUGGUGUAGCGGUGAAAUGCUUAGAUAUCACGAAGAACUCCGAUUGCGAAGGCAGUUCACUGGACUGCAACUGACACUGAGGCUCGAAAGUGUGGGUAUCAAACAGGAUUAGAUACCCGGGUAGUC
rnacentral:rRNA from 1 species